rnacentral:rRNA from 1 species
AGAACGAACGCUGGCGGCAUGCCUAACACAUGCAAGUCGAACGCUUCCGGGGCUUCGGUCGCGGAGGAGUGGCGCACGGGUGAGUAGCGCGUGGGAACCUGCCCUGUUGUGGGGGAUAACCGAGGGAAACUUCGGCUAAUACCGCAUACGCCCCGGGACUUGGUCUUCGGAUUAGGUCUGGGGGGAAAGAUUGAUCGCAGCAGGAGGGGCCCGCGUCGGAUUAGCUGGUUGGUGGGGUAACGGCUCACCAAGACGAUGAUCCGUAGCUGGUCUGAGAGGAUGAUCAGCCACACUGGGACUGAGACACGGCCCAGACUCCUACGGGAGGCAGCAGUGGGGAAUAUUGGACAAUGGGGGCAACCCUGAUCCAGCAAUGCCGCGUGAGUGAUGAAGGCCUUAGGGUUGUAAAGCUCUUUCGCCCGCGACGAUGAUGACGGUAGCGGGAGAAGAGCCCGGCUAACUUUGCGCCAGCAGCCGCGGU